GUCAGGAGUGGUGGCCCACACCUGUGAUCCUGGCAGCUCAGGAGGCUGAGGCAGGAGGAUCGCAAGGUGGAGGCCAGCCUCAGCAGCUCAGUGAGGCCCUGAGCAACUCAGUGAGACCCUGUCUCUC
rnacentral:sRNA from 1 species